rnacentral:rRNA from 1 species
UACGUAGGGUGCGAGCGUUAAUCGGAAUUACUGGGCGUAAAGCGUGCGCAGGCGGUUUGUAAGCCAGGUGUGAAAUCCCCGGGCUCAACCUGGGAAUGGCAAUGGAUACUGGCAAGCUAGAGUGCGGUAGAGGGUAGUGGAAUUCCCGGUGUAGCGGUGAAAUGCGUAGAGAUCGGGAGGAACACCAGUGGCGAAGGCGGCUACCUGGACCAGCACUGACACUGAGGCACGAAAGCGUGGGGAGCAAACAGG